rnacentral:sRNA from 1 species
GAUGUNGGGGGNUUGGGNGGAAGCCCACGUUNCCCGACAAAAAACGUACCCCCGGCGCGGUCUGCGCCAAGGAAUCGAAAUGAAGCAACGUGAGCAGUCCGCCCCGUUCGCGGGAAGUGGACGGCAACACGGUCUUCCAAUGUAUACUAAACGACUCUCGGCAACGGAUAUCUCGGCUCUCGCAUCGAUGAAGAACGUAGCGAAAUGCGAUACUUGGUGUGAAUUGCAGAAUCCCGUGAACCAUCGAGUUUUUGAACGCAAGUUGCGCCCGAAGCCAUUAGGCCGAGGGCACGCCUGCCUGGGCGUCACGCGCUCCGUCGCCCCGCAACCCCGAACCCCGAAACGGGCCAGGGUACUUGUGGUGCGGAGAUUGGUCUCCCGUGUGCCUUGCUCGCGGCUGGCCUAAAAUUGAGUCCCGGGCGCUCUGUUCUGCGGCCGACGGUGGUUGAGAAGCCCUCGAAAUUGUGCUGCUGCAGUGCUGCCCGAUGCGGACCCUGUGACCCUUGCGCGACCUCUCCCCUUGGGGUGAGGGAGCUCCAUCUGA